UCAAACUUUGACCUUUAACCUCUCUGUUUUGUGUUGUUACCUCUUUCAGAUCAGAAAAUCAUCACAGCCGAGUCUGGACAGAACGUCACGCUGCCGUCUUGAGCUCCAAAUGAGAACAAAACCAUCACAGUAGUAGAGUGGAGCAGAACUGAUCUGGAGUCAGAACAUGUGCUUUUGUACCGAGAUGAGCAGUUUGAACCAGAAGAGCAGCAUCCAUCUUUUAAGAACCGAGUGUUGAUUCUGAAGGAUGUGACGACUGCUGAUAGUGGAACAUAUGAGUGUCGAGUCUUCAUGGGAGGGAAAGAACGCAGGAAAAGAGCUCAUCUGAAGACUGACCCCAUCAGCAUCAUCUACCUGAGAGUUGUUGAUCCUCCAGGUCAGACAAGAAAAUCUGUUGGAGUGAUGCUCAGUGUGUCACUUCUUGUUGCUGCUGUCAUUGGUUUUCUGAUCUACAAACAAGGAUCACCAACCUGUCUCAGAGGUUUUCCAGCUGAUUCGUGAGUCUCCUGCUGCUGUUCCAGCUUCUCAGAGGUGACACAGAUCAUCCAGUGGAGAGACACACGAGGACAUCCUGAAUUUGUUGUUCAGCAUCUUUGUGAAAGUCUUGGACAUUUUCCUUUGGACAUGUUGGACUUUAACUAAAGAUGUUUUCAG